GACAGAGGGUGCGAACGUUGUUCGGAAUUACUGGGCGUAAAGCGCGUGUAGGCGGCAGCGCAAGUCGGGCGUGAAAUCCCACGGCUCAACCGUGGAAGUGCACUCGAAACUGCGCAGCUAGAGUCCUGGAGAGGAAGGUGGAAUUCCCAGUGUAGAGGUGAAAUUCGUAGAUAUUGGGAGGAACACCGGUGGCGAAGGCGACCACCUGGACGAAGACUGACGCUGAGGCGCGAGAGCGUGGGGAGCAAACAGG
rnacentral:rRNA from 1 species